rnacentral:rRNA from 1 species
UAAGACGAACCGUGCGAACGUUAUUCGGAAUCACUGGGCUUAAAGCGCGCGUAGGCGGGCCGGCACGUCGGAUGCUGAAAGCCCCCGGCUCAACCGGGGAAGGGGCACCGAUACGACCGGCCUGGAGUGGGGUAGGGGGAGCCGGAACUUCCGGUGGAGCGGUGAAAUGCGUUGAGAUCGGAAGGAACGCCCGUGGCGAAAGCGGGCUCCUGGACCCCGACUGACGCUGAGGCGCGAAAGCCAGGGGAGCGAACGGGAUUAGAUACCCCGGUAGUCCUGGCCGUAAACCAUGGGUACUGGGUAGGGGGCUCGCCGAUGGGCUCCCUGCCGCAGCGAAAGCGUGAAGUACCCCGCCUGGGGAGUAUGGUCGCAAGGCUG